UCCUUUUUUGUUGUGAUAUUUUUUGAAUUUCAUUUCUAAAAUAACAAAUCUUGUACAUAUUUAUUGCAUACAAAAGGAUACUUUGAAAUAUGGGUUAAUCAUAUCAUCGUGGAUAGCAAAGUCAAGCUAACAUACAUUAAUUCACAUGCUGACCACCAUUUUGUUCUGGGAAUACUUAAAGCCUGCUUUCUUAUGGGUUUUAAAAUACUCAAUACAGUGUUGUUAAUGUUCUGUAUUUUUUUGAUACAGUAUCUUCUCACAUAGCCUUGGCACUCACUAUGGAGACCAGGUCGACCUCUAGCUAAUGAUAACUCUUCUCUGCUCUCAAGUCCUCAAGUCCUCUGCUCUCAAGUGAUUAGAAGAAUGAGCUACUAUACUCUACUAAGACCUGGUAUUUCUAUUAAUCCAUUUAAUAGAUGCUGAAUUUAAAAGCCUGCUCUCUUGAUCGAAUUACCUCCACAUAGAGACUGUGGCAGAAGUGAACGGUUGUUCAUUGCUCGCUAAUCAAAUAGUUGAGAAAGUAAAGUCAUGGAUGUUAUUUCUGUGCUCAAAAGCAAAGCUGAAAUAUGCAAUGAUAUCAAUGGCAAUUAUUAAUUAUGGAUCUUCUCAUAGUUAAUAUUUUAUUAACAUUAUUAACAUCACUGUCAUCCUCUAUGAUAUUUUUAUUGAUAUUUUAAAAAUAUUCUUUUUGAAAAAGACAUUCCUUUAUACAUUUAUUUAUUCAGUUAUUUCAGGCCCUUGCAUAUCAUAGACUGUUCUCAAACUCACUAUAUAACUAAGGGUGGCCUUGAAAUUCUGAUCCUCCUGCCUCUACUUCCUGGGUCCUGGGAUCAGACCUAGCUCAGUCCAAAUCACAUAUGCCUUGCAAGGAUCAUGUAGAAAUGGGCGACUACUUUGUUGAUGACCUGGAUGGAUGUGGGUGGAUACAGACAACAGCUUCACCAGUUGCAGAUACCAUGGACCUGAAGACUAUGUGGAGACAAGAGCCCAGGGAUUUGAUCAGAUGUCCAGAGUGUAUUGGUGAAGGGGGAUUUGGGCUCAGUCUGUUCACAAAAAGUCAUCUUGGGAGCAAAACAACCUUUCUGAUAUUUAUGUAUUAUCAGGGAAGAACUUUAAUAGCUGUUAUAUUUUCCUCUAAUUUCCUGAAAAGGGAUACAUGGAGGAAGAGAAGAGGGGAUGGGAAAGAAGUUUAAUAUUGACAUGGAUUUAAAAAAAGCACAGAAUUUGUGGGACCAAGAGAGGCCCCAUGUAGAAAGGGAGAGAUGAGGCCUCUUCUCUGUACCUGAAUCCUAAGAGCAAGUUGUCUAAGCAAUCCUCUCUCUUCCUUCUCCUCCUUUUCCUUUUCUUCUUUUUAGGGAUAGGGCCUCACUAUUUAGCUCAGGCUGGCUUUGAACUCACCUGGCUUCAGCUUUCCUAUGUGCUUCCUAACAGGCUUGUGCCAUCAUGUAAGGCUUUGAGCAGUCUCAAGAUUUUCAUUCCUUAGCUUCCCAAGACAAUGGACUAGAGGGAAUAGUGAGUUCUAGAACUUCACAGAUAUAUGGCAAGAGUGCUAUGUCAUAGGAGUCCCAAGGAUUCAUAGCAACACAGGUACCUCGUUUAGCCAUGCCAUAACUGAACUGCUAUGAUCAACUGUUUUCAGAGGAGCAUUUAGUGCUUAAGGACUACUACUGCUAUUCCAUUAUGGCCAUAUGAGGCAAAGACCGGCCAUUUCUACAACAGCUGGGAAACUAUACCCAAGGAAACUCAACAAUAUGGAGACCUAAACAAGAUCAGCAGGGUGAGAACACUACUUGACAUGCUAAUGUUGUUGGUGUUCUGUCUAAGCUCCACCCCCUCAGCUACCUGGGAACAGUCAGAUAUGCGCUGCCCUACAGUUGCCUGGCAACAGCCAGCUGGACCUGAUACUAUAAGAGGGGGCUGCUCGCCCCUUCCUCCCCCUCUUACUCCUCUCUUUGUUCUUUACUUUUCUGCUCUCUUCCCCUCUGUCCCUGUCCCUUCUCUCCCCAUCCCCUACCUUCCCUCCAUGUGCUCAUGGUCAACCUUUCCUCUCCUCUCCUCUUCUUGUCUCAUUAAACCUCUCCACGUGGAA